ACAGAGAAGGUCUUGUGGGGGAUGUCAAGGCUGGAGGCCGCCUGGGGCAAAGGGAUCGUGAGAUGCUAGAUUUCUCAAUCCUUGUUGAACCACGGAGGGGAGUCAGCAGAACUGCCACCUUGGACUUCCAGAGAGCAAACUCGAACCUCUUUAGGACCAUGGUUGAGAGGGUCCCUUGGGAAGUACUUUUGGAGGGCGUGGGAGCCCAGGAAGGCUGGCAAUACUUUCCAGAAGUAAUUUUAAAGGUGCAGGAGCUGACCAUCCCCAGGUCAUGGAAGAUGAGCUGAUGGGCAAGGAGGCUGGACUGGCUGAACAGAGACCUUCCACUGGAACUCAAGAGCAAAAUGAAAGAUUAUGGUCUGUGGAAGAGUGGGCAAGCUACUUAUGAUGAUUACAGCUCUGCAGCUCGGACAUCAUCUUUACACUCAGCUGUUCCUGGGCAUAAUGCUCCACACAAUGACCCUGCAGAGCCCAAAGGCCUGCCUGCCUGCUGUCACUCACCUGGAGGUUGCAGGGUGCUGUGCCUCCUGGCUGGACCUGCUGCUGCUAGAUGGCACUUGCAAGACACUGAGAGCCCACCUGCUUGGAACUGCAGGCAACAAACACAAACGAGAAAGAAGGAAGAAAGGAUUCUUGGAUUUCACAGGCUUCCACAGG
rnacentral:lncRNA from 1 species